UACGUAGGGUGCAAGCGUUGUCCGGAAUUAUUGGGCGUAAAGAGCUCGUAGGCGGUCUGUCGCGUCGGCUGUGAAAACUCGGGGCUCAACCCCGAGCCUGCAGUCGAUACGGGCAGACUAGAGUGCUGUAGGGGAGAUCGGAAUUCCUGGUGUAGCGGUGAAAUGCGCAGAUAUCAGGAGGAACACCGGUGGCGAAGACGGAUCUCUGGGCCUUACCUGACGCUCAGGUGCGAAAGCUAGGGGAGCGAACAGG
rnacentral:rRNA from 1 species